rnacentral:lncRNA from 1 species
CGAGUCCCAUCUCUCGUUAAGGCGAAGAGCCGCCAACCCGCGCUCCUGUGUUCAGGCUGAUGUCAGGACAAGAUGUUCUUUAAAGGUGGAAGUCAUUACGAGGGCAAGUUUGUCAAGGGACAAAUUAUGGAGAAUGGAUCUCAAUACGGGGUAUCAACAGGGGCAGUGGAGAAGUGACGUAUUCGGUGAACGGGGCGCUGUGGUGAAUUGUUCUGGUGACAUCUGUGAUGGACUGUGGAUCAAUGGCUACCCUGCUGAUCGCACGUGACAUCCAAAGAAUACCAACUACAAAAGGAUCAGCACUCUGUAUAGAAUUCUAAGACAUUACAAGGCCACUAUGGUACUUGUGGUCCGUGAAGUGACCAUGCCCCCUUUCUUGGGCCAGGCUCCCACAUCUGCCUUCAAACUCUCGUAUCUUUCCAGAGAAAACUGAAACCAAGAACAAAGAUUCUUUCACAGUCACCAGCGAGUAAAAAGGAUCAAACCCCCCAGCCAGGGCUCUUGUCACUGAAAUCAAUGGAAUGCUUCCCACUGAAUGCAGUGGAAGUUGGAUUCAGUCUUUGCA